AUGCUGAAUAUUCUCUCUGACCUUUACAAAGGAUUUUUAGGUAUGCGAUUAGCUUUAACAAUAACAACAACAACAACAACAACAACAACGACGACGACGACGACGACGACAACAACAACAACAACAACAACAACAACAAUAACAACCCAUGGUGCUGGCACAUGGAUAGCAACCUUCCACACACCCCUGCCCAUAGCUAGUUUGUUGGUGAUACUCCAAUCCUUCAUAUAUCUCUUAACAGACUCCUCCCGUGUCAAAUUUGGUCUACCCCGACCUCUCUUGACAUUCUUCGCACGCCUUAGCCGCCCGCUAUGCACUGGAGCUUCUGGAGGCCUGCGCUGA
rnacentral:rRNA from 1 species